rnacentral:rRNA from 1 species
UAGGGAAUCUUCCACAAUGGACGAAAGUCUGAUGGAGCAACGCCGCGUGAGUGAUGAAGGGUUUCGGCUCGUAAAACUCUGUUGUUGGAGAAGAACGGGUGUCAGAGUAACUGUUGACAUCGUGACGGUAUCCAACCAGAAAGCCACGGCUAACUACGUGCCAGCAGCCGCGGUAAUACGUAGGUGGCAAGCGUUGUCCGGAUUAUUGGGCGUAAAGCGAGCGCAGGCGGUUUUUUAGGUCUGAUGUGAAAGCCUUCGGCUUAACCGGAGAAGUGCAUCGGAAACCGGGAGACUUGAGUGCAGAAGAGGACAGUGGAACUCCAUGUGUAGCGGUGAAAUGCGUAGAUAUAUGGAAGAACACCAGUGGCGAAGGCGGCUGUCUGGUCUGCAACUGACGCUGAGGCUCGAAAGCAUGGGUAGCGAACAGGAUUAGAUACCCUGGUAGU